AUUGAACGCUGGCGGCAUGCCUUACACAUGCAAGUCGAACGGCAGCGCGGACUUCGGUCUGGCGGCGAGUGGCGAACGGGUGAGUAAUACAUCGGAACGUACCCUGUUGUGGGGGAUAACUAGUCGAAAGAUUAGCUAAUACCGCAUACGACCUGAGGGUGAAAGUGGGGGACCGCAAGGCCUCACGCAGCAGGAGCGGCCGAUGUCUGAUUAGCUAGUUGGUGGGGUAAAGGCCCACCAAGGCGACGAUCAGUAGCUGGUCUGAGAGGACGAUCAGCCACACUGGGACUGAGACACGGCCCAGACUCCUACGGGAGGCAGCAGUGGGGAAUUUUGGACAAUGGGGGCAACCCUGAUCCAGCAAUGCCGCGUGUGUGAAGAAGGCCUUCGGGUUGUAAAGCACUUUUGUCCGGAAAGAAAUCGCGCUGGUUAAUACCUGGCGUGGAUGACGGCACCGGAAGAAUAAGCACCGGCUAACUACGUG
rnacentral:rRNA from 1 species